AUACGGGGGGUGCAAGCGUUAUUCGGAUUUAUUGGGCGUAAAGGGCGCGUAGGCGGCUUGGUAAGUCAGAUGUGAAAGUCCGGGGCUCAACCCCGGAAGUGCAUUUGAAACUAUCAGGCUUGAGUAUGGGAGAGGGAAGUGGAAUUCCUGGUGUAGAGGUGAAAUUCGUAGAUAUCAGGAGGAACACCGGUGGCGAAGGCGACUUCCUGGACCAAUACUGACGCUGAGGCGCGAAGGCGUGGGGAGCAAACAGGAUUAGAAACCCCUGUAGUCC
rnacentral:rRNA from 1 species